rnacentral:rRNA from 1 species
UACGUAGGGGGCAAGCGUUGUCCGGGUUUAUUGGGCGUAAAGAGCGUGUAGGCGGUUUGGUAGGUCCGCUGUGAAAACUCGCGGCUCAACCUCGAGACGCCGGUGGAAACCAUCAGACUAGAGUCCGGAAGAGGAGAGUGGAAUUCCUGGUGUAGCGGUGAAAUGCGCAGAUAUCAGGAAGAACACCCGUGGCUAAGGCGGCUCUCUAGUACGGUACUGACGCUGAGACGCGAAAGCGUGGGGAGCGAACAGG